UACGGGAGGCAGCAGUGGGGAAUAUUGCACAAUGGGCGAAAGCCUGAUGCAGCUAUGCCGCGUGUAUGAAGAAGGCCUUAGGGUUGUAAAGUACUUUCAUCGGGGAGGAAAAAACAAAACUAAUAAUUUUAUUUCUUGACGUUACCCGAAAAAGAAGCACCGGCUAACUCCGUGCCAGCAGCCGCGGUAAUACGGAGGGUGCUAGCGUUAAUCAGAAUUACUGGGCGUAAAGAGCACGUAGGUGGUUUUUUUAAAGUCAGAUGUGAAAUCCUUGGGCUUAACCUAGGAACUGCAUUUUGAAACUGAAAUACUAGAGUAUCGUAGAGGGAGGUAGAAUUCUAGGUGUAGCGGUGAAAUGCGUAGAUAUCUGGAGGAAUACCUGUGGCGAAAGCGGCCUCCUAAACGAAUACUGACACUGAGGUGCGAAAGCGUGGGGAGCAAACAGGGAUUAGAUACC
rnacentral:rRNA from 1 species